CUUGUCCUGGAUGGCGUCUCUCUGAAGAGCCUUCAGCACGUUCGGUGGCGUCACAAAGCCGUAUUUGGCCUCCAGCAGAGCCAGAUCGAUUUUAUCUGCUUUGAGGACGGUGAUCACCUCGUCUCUGGCCUGUUAAACACAGAAACUCAAGGCAGGACUGUGGGUCAAAGGUCAAACCGUCCCAAACAUGAGCUGACCUCAGAUCAGAUUACAUCAUCGCUGCACGGGGGUCAAAAGCGGUCAGAGAUCGACGCGUUCAGCCGCUGCUGCUCGUCUCUAUCGAGUAUCUGAGAAAUCUGUCACUUCAGACUCAAAUUCUGCUCAUUCCUCGACGAGACUGAUGCUCAUCUGCUGCCGUCUCACACACACACACACACACACUCAUGCACACACACACACACACACACUCAUGCACACACACACACCAUUAUGAAGAAGGUCAGAAAUGAAAGUGACGAUGUUCUGGACCAAAGUAGGUCACGAUCUCCGUUUGGACCUGCACCUAUGUGCUGCUGCAACUGCCAUGGAAACGACAUCACAUGAUCUCAGGGCUUGAUCCAGUGUGUGAGAUCGUCAUGUCAUUGUCUGACACACUGAUCCUUCAGUGCAGGACACUGGGAAAACCCCUUCGACUUCCGAGGAAAUGAGGAUACGGAGUCAGACAUCAGCCGACAGGUGCAGCGAGAGUCGUCUGACACACACACACACACACACACACACUCUCUCACUCAUACACACUCUCAUACACACUCACUCAUACACACACACAAUCACACACAGUGACCAGCAGAUGGCAGCAGUAAGUCAAACUCCUCUAAUACUGAUGGGUCAGCAUCACAUCUGUGUGCGCGUGUGUGUGCGUGUGUGUGUGUGUGUGUGUUCACAACAGAAUACUGUACUAACACAAGACUCAUCCUAACGUUAACAUACUAAUGUUAUGAAAACAUUAUUUCUGAAUGUUCAAAACAUCCAGUUUAUUUAGUGGUUUUACAAUCUUUAAAGAAACAUUAUAUUUGAUCGUUCUUCAAACAUUAUGGGAACGUUACAUUUGAAUGUUCUCUGAACGUUCUGAAACAAGUAGUAACAUUUAAAAAACUUAAAGUCCAACUAAAAUGUUUCAGAAAAACAUAUAAAUCGUUUUGAGAACAUUAUUAAAGACCAGAUAACUUUGAACGAAUGUUCUAUUAACGUUCCUGUAAGAACAUUCGUUUAUAAGUUUGACACAAUGUUCUCUGGGACAGAAAAUAAUGUCUCUGUAUCAUCUUUCAUGUUUUCUUCUGAUCGUGGUUCAUCAGAUCAUAAACUCUUCAGUGUGUGAAUGAAUCUGAUAUGAGCUGCUGUCUGUGUUUAAUUACAGUCAAACGCUCGAGAUUCACUAAUUAACACAGUCAUUAAUGCAUGAGCGUUGUUAAUUAAUGCAUGUCUAAAUGAGCAGGUGCAGAGGGAGCUGACAGUAAUAUUUGACAUUAAAUAAAACACAUUCAUGUGAAUUUGUGUGUGUCUGGAUCAUGAUCGCUGCAGCCUCACGCUAAAAUUAGGGUCACUCGACACCCCGACUCUGAGCGAAGGGUGUGAGACACACAACAUACCGGCUACACGGCCACGGACACAACGCAGACCGGACACACAGUACAGACCGCGUACA